rnacentral:rRNA from 1 species
CAAUAGCGUAUAUUAAAGUUGUUGCGGUUAAAAAGCUCGUAGUUGGAUUUCUGUCGAGGACGACCGGUCCGCCCACUGGGUGAGUAUCUGGCUCGGCCUGGACAUCUUCUUGGAGAACGUAGCUGCACUUGAUUGUGUGGUGCGGUAUCCAGGACAUUUUACUUUGAGGAAAUUAGAGUGUUUCAAGCAGGCAUACGCCUUGAAUACAUUAGCAUGGAAUAAUAAUAUAGGACCUUGGUUCUAUUUUGUGGUUUCUAGAGCUAAGGUAAUGAUUAAUAGGGAUAAUUGGGGGCAUUCGUAUUAACGCGUCAGAGGUGGAAUUCUUGGAUUGCGUUACGACGAACUACUGCGAAAGCAUUUGCCAAGGAUGUUUUUCAUUGAUCAAGAACGAAAGUAAGGGGAUCGAAGACGAUUAGAU